rnacentral:rRNA from 1 species
UACGAAGGGGGCUAGCGUUGUUCGGAGUUACUGGGCGUAAAGGGCGCGUAGGCGGCGCACCAAGUCAGGCGUGAAAGCCCUGGGCUCAACCCGGGAAUUGCGCUUGAGGCUGGUGUGCUUGAGUACGGGAGAGGAUAGUGGAAUUCCCAGUGUAGAGGUGAAAUUCGUAGAUAUUGGGAAGAACACCGGUGGCGAAGGCGGCUAUCUGGACCGUAACUGACGCUGAGGCGCGAAAGCGUGGGGAGCGAACAGG